AUUUUAAAUACAUUUUUUAGUAGUUUGAUUUGUCAUAAAAAUACAUAAGAAAAAUAAUAACUUUUAACAUAACAAUACAAUAAUAAAUUCAACAUUAUAUAAGAACAUAAUUUCUAAUCAAUAUUUCCUCCAAACUAUCCUCCGAGGGCACUUGGUCCCCCACCUAUUAUGUCUGAUCACAAAAUUUAUUCGUACUAUAUAACUUGUUGAUUUAAUAUUUUGAUUUUGAUGAUAACAAAAUAUUGCGUUGGUAGCUAAUUUAUUUACUAAGUGUGCAGAUAAUGAGCGAUUAAGUUACAAAGCUCAAACUGACCAAAUAGACUGCAAACACUUUCUAUCAGAAAUUGUUGAUACCUAUUUCAUGAGUGUCGACACCUUUAGAUUUGGAGGCUAUAUUGAUAAAUCUGAUAAAAGUCUAAUCUAAAUUACAAAUCUCUCCGGAAUGAAAUUAAUGAAAAUCAUACACAUCCAUGAGAAGACAUCUCGAAGAGCGUAAAGUGAACAAUGCUCAAAUGGCCAAGAAAAUCAGAGAAAUACAUUCUGGCGAGAAGUGUUGACACUUGAAGAUAAUAGCAAAAGACUUGAAUCUGAAAAUGAAGUGUCGACACCUAAGAUCAGUAACAAAGUUUCAUGAAGACAGACAAGAAUUAUUGAUACCUGACAUCAGUAGCAAAACUUCAUGAAAACAGACAAGAAGUGUCGACACCUAGAACCAAACAAGUGAAUGUAGAAGAGUGUUUACGUAAUUAUACUCCGGAUAAAGCACAUUGUAUAAUUUUAUAUUUUUUUGAAUCUCUUUAAUCAGGUCCAUCCGUACCUGUGCCCAAUCGUUUUCAUCAUACCCUACUUAUGCAACUAUCGCCCUGAAUCCACAAUAACCAUUAGCUUAGAUGUCAAUAGUGUAACUAAUGAAAUAUUGAUAACCCUAGGUAAUUCUUGAAUAAAGGGAUUAAAGAUGGGUGGAGCUGGAGGUUAAUUUUUGACAAACUCUCGAGUUUGCAACCGAUAGAGUGACCGGUGUGUUGUAGUUGAGUUAGAUGCCCCUAGAUCCUAAAGUAUAUGACUCUAAAAUAGAAGGUAUGCGUCGUAUACUUUGCUCAUCUCUGCCUGCAGGUUGACAUUUGUAUUUCAUGUUAUAUGCCGAAGAUCAAACUGUACUAUGAGAUGGAAUUGCCAUAUCGAUAAUCCUAUUUAUCAUAUUAUCUUGCGUAAAUUGAUCAUUCCUUUUAACAGUUCAAUAAAUUGAUAAUAUAAUGAAACAAUAAUAGUAUGACGAAAUAAGAAAUAACAGAUGCUUGUUUGAUCAAUAGUAAAUUUAAGUGUAUAGUCACAACCUAUAUGGAAGAUGUUUUCUCCACUUGGAAUAUCACUCUCGACUGUCUAACUAUUUGAAAUUGAGUCAGCCAUAGUGCUCUAACUAUGGAUUUCGAAAAAAAAUAUGGAUCAAAUCUUGAUAUAAAUUAAAAGAGUGAUAGUAUGAAUAAAAUGAGAACUCUAAAAAAUAUUCUUCAUAUAUAUAUAUAUAUAUAUAUAUAUAAGUUGCCCCUAGUAUAGUUAGUCUUAUCUUGUUCCCCCUAUAGAUGUCAAUUGCCUCCUAAUUUUGUCAUAAAAAAAUAUUAUAAAUUUUGAUUCAUAUUAUAAAAAAAAAUUCUUUUAGAAAAAAUAAACAAAAGAUUAGAAACAUAUAAUAAAAAAAUAUUUUUCAAAAAAAACAGAUAAAGAAAAAAAAAAUUUAAUAAAAAAAUAUUAAAAAAAUUGAAAAAAAACAACAACAAAACUAAAAAAAUUUUUUUAAAAAGGGGGCGAUUGGGAGGGGAUUCGGGCGAGGGGGCGGGGAAGGGGUGCUGGGAGAAAAAAAAGGGGACGGGGUAAUUGGGUAAUUGGGGAAAGGAUUUGGGGGUGGGGCCCGGCGUUUUCGUGGGAGGAUCAGCUCUCUUAUUUUCUAAGGACCUCCAAUAAUUUUAGGGUAAAUUACAAUCACCUCCACUAAGGUUUUUCUUUAAUACAGAUGUUCCCUGAUGUUUGAAAAAUUAUACCGACUUUUCUUACUUUUUAAAACUUGUAACACAACCACUUGCAUUUGUCGCUCAUCUCUCUCUCUCUCUCUUUCUCAAGUUGUGAUGAUUUUAAUAUUUUAUCAUCAACCCUGAUAUGCUAUGUUUGGUAUCAGUUUUUUUUUAAUUUUUUUUUUGCUUAAAAUAAGUAAAAAAAUUAAUUUUUUAACUUUUUUAUUUUAAUUUUUUUGCUUAGUUUUAAUUACAAAUGAAUCAAAAAAAAUAAAAAAAGUCACAAAAUUCUGACCCUUUUGUAGAAAGCUUAAAAAAUUUUUGAUUUUAAAUAUUACCCAAUGGAGCCACUAGCACACGCAUUUUGCACAUUUUUACGCAUUCUAUGUUAGGUGUACGUAUCUUUAGAAUAAAACGGCAUUUUUUUUUAAAAUAAAAAAUAUCGAACAAGGCGAAUAAGGCUAAAUAUAGAAAACAAAAAGUUAAAAGUAACU
rnacentral:lncRNA from 1 species